UCCCAGGGCCUAAAUGUCAUGAAGGCCUCUGAUUCUGUCUGAUCUUGGAAGCUAAACAGGGUCAGCCCUGGUUAACAUGUGUGGGUGAGAGACUGCCAGUGAAUUGCAGGCAUUUUAGGAU
rnacentral:rRNA from 11 species